rnacentral:rRNA from 1 species
AGAGUUUGAUCCUGGCUCAGGAUAAACGCUGGCGGCGUGCCUAACACAUGCAAGUCGAACGCCCUGCGCAAGCAGGGAGUGGCGGACGGGUGAGGAACACGUGGGUUAUCUACCUUCUGGUGAGGAAUACCGGCGAGAAAUCGCCGACAAUACCGCAUACGCUCCGUUAAGGAGCAAAGCUCGCAAGGGCGCCGGAAGAUGAGCCUGCGGCCGAUUAGUUGGUUGGUGGGGUAAUGGCCUACCAAGGCUGCGAUCGGUAGCUGGUCUGAGAGGACGAUCAGCCACACUGGGAUUGAGAACGGCCCAGACUCCUACGGGGGGCAGCAGUGAGGAAUUUUCGUCAAUGGGGGCAACCCUGAACGAGCAACGCCGCGUGCAGGAAGACGGUCUUCGGAUUGUAAACUGCUUUUCUCUGGGACGAGCAAGGACGGUACCAGAGGAAUCAGCCUCGGCUAACUACGUGCCAGCAGCCGCGGUAAUACGUAGGAGGCAAGCGUUGUCCGGAGUUACUGGGCGUAAAGCGCACGCAGGCGGUCCUGUCAGUCUGGGGUGACAGUUCCCGGCUUAACCGGGGAAGUGCUCUGGAAACUGCAGGACUUGAGGGCUUCAGAGGGAUGUGGAAUUCCAGGUGGAGUGGUGAAAUGCGUAGAGAUCUGGAAGAACACCAAAGGCGAAGGCAGCAUCCUGGGAAGCAACUGACGCUCGGGUGCGAAAGCCAGGGGAGCGAACGGGAUUAGAUACCCCGGUAGUCCUGGCCGUAAACGAUGACCACUAGACGUGGGGGGUAUCGACCCCCUCCGUGUCGAAGUUAACACAUGAAGUGGUCCGCCUGGGGAGUACGGUCGCAAGAUUAAAACUUAAAGGAAUUGACGG